rnacentral:rRNA from 1 species
AGUGAACGCUGGCGGUAGGCCUAACACAUGCAAGUCGAACGGCAGCACAGAGGAGCUUGCUCCUUGGGUGGCGAGUGGCGGACGGGUGAGGAAUACAUCGGAAUCUACUCUGUCGUGGGGGAUAACGUAGGGAAACUUACGCUAAUACCGCAUACGACCUACGGGUGAAAGCAGGGGAUCUUCGGACCUUGCGCGAUUGAAUGAGCCGAUGACGGAUUAGCGAGUUGGGGGGGUAAAGGCCCACCAAGGCGACGAUCCGUAGCUGGUCUGAGAGAAUGAUCAGCAACACUGGAACAGAGACACGGUCCAGACUCCUACGGGAGGCAGCAGUGGGGAAUAUUGGACAAUGGGCGCAAGCCUGAUCCAGCCAUACCGCGUGGGUGAAGAAGGCCUUCGGGUUGUAAAGCCCUUUUGUUGGGAAAGAAAUCCAUCUGGUUAAUACCCGGGUGGGAUGACGGUACCCAAAGAAUAAGCACCGGCUAACUUCGUGCCAGCCGCCGCCGUAA